UGAAGGUUUGCGGGAGAGACCCUACGGGGCGCCGAAGGAGUAAGUUUAUGAUAUGCCAUAAAUGAAGCUCUCAGGCAAAAGGACCGCAUACUGGAC
rnacentral:ncRNA from 2 species